rnacentral:rRNA from 1 species
UACGUAGGGCGCAAGCGUUACUCGGAUUCACUGGGCGUAAAGGGAGCGCAGGCGGACCGGUGUGUCAGAUGUGAAACCCCAGGGCUCAACCCUGGGACUGCGUCUGAAACUGCCGGUCUAGGGACUCGGAGGGGCUAGUGGAAUUCCUGGUGGAGCAGUGAAAUGCGUAGAUAUCAGGAGGAACACCAACGGCGAAGGCAGCUAGCUGGACGAGAUCCGACGCUCAGGCUCGAAAGUAUGGGGAGCAAAAAGG